AGGGGUGUAGGUUUAACGGUUAGACCAGCGGUCUCCAAAACCGCGAGUGCGGGUUCGAAUCCUGCCACCCCUGCCA
rnacentral:tRNA from 2 species